GCUGGGCGUGGUGGUGCACGCCUGUAGUCCCAGCCACUGGGAAGCUGAGGGAGGAGAAUCACUUGAACCCAGGAGGUGGAGGUUGCAGUGAGCCGAGAUCAUGCCACUGCAUUCCAGCCUGGGUGACAGAGCGAGACUCCAUCUCAA
rnacentral:sRNA from 1 species